rnacentral:rRNA from 1 species
UACGUAGGUUGCGAGCGUUAAUCGGAAUUACUGGGCGUAAAGCGUGCGCAGGCGGCUUUUUAAGCCAGACGUGAAAUCCCCGGGCUUAACCUGGGAAUGGCGUUUGGAACUGGAAGGCUAGAGUGUGUCAGAGGGGGGUAGAAUUCCACGUGUAGCAGUGAAAUGCGUAGAGAUGCGGAGGAACACCGAUGGCGAAGGCAGCCCCCUGGGCCAACACUGACGCUCAGGCACGAAAGCGUGGGGAGCAAACAGG